rnacentral:rRNA from 1 species
UACGAAGGGGGCUAGCGUUGCUCGGAAUUACUGGGCGUAAAGCGCACGUAGGCGCUUUCUAAGUCGGGGGUGAAAUCCUGGAGCUCAACUCCAGAACUGCCUUCGAUACUGGAAAGCUCGAGUCCGGGAGGGGGUAGCGGAAUUCCCAGUGUAGCGGUGAAAUGCGUAGAUAUUGGGAGGAACACCGAUGGCGAAGGCAGCCCCCUGGGCUGAGAUUGACGCUCAGGCACGAAAGCGUGGGGAGCAAACAGG